rnacentral:rRNA from 1 species
AAGUUAGUGGCGCACGGGUGAGUAACACGUAGCUAAUCUGCCCUAUACUGGGGGACAACAGUUGGAAACGACUGCUAAUACCCCAUACUCCGGUAUUACUUAAGUAGUAUCGGGAAAGUUUUUCGGUAUAGGAUGAGGCUGCGGUCUAUCAGCUUGUUGGUGAGGUAAUGGCUCACCAAGGCUAUGACGGAUAGCUGGUCUGAGAGGAUGAUCAGCCACACUGGAACUGAGACACGGUCCAGACUCCUACGGGAGGCAGCAGUGGGGAAUUUUACACAAUGGGCGAAAGCCUGAUGUAGCAACGCCGCGUGGAGGAUGAAGGAUUUAGGUCUGUAAACUCCUUUUAUAGGGGAAGAAAUUUGACGGUACCCUAUGAAUAAGCACCGGCUAACUCCGUGCCAGCAGCCGCGGUAAUACGGGGGGUGCAAGCGUUACUCGGAAUCACUGGGCGUAAAGGGAGCGUAGGCGUUCUAU